UAUUCUCAAUUGCCGGUGGUGGUGGGGGCGGCGGUGGGGGUGAGGAAUAUGAAUACUCAUUAGGUGGAGGAGGAUUUUGAUAAUGAGAAGGUGAUGGUGGGUAAUGCCAAUGAUGCUGUGGGGGUGGGUGGUGGUAGCUUGGUGUGGAUGUUGGCGGCGGUUCUAAUGGUGGUGAGUGGUGAUAGCUUGGUGUAGAUGUUGGUGGCGAUGAUGGUGGUGGGUGGUGAUAGUUUGGUGAGGAGGAUGGCGGCGGUGAUUCUGGAGUGGUGCAUCCAGGCCCAUGUGGAGGAGGUGGACUUGCCGUUGAAUGCUCAUGAGUUGGAGGAGGGGAGUGUGUAUAUCCAUUCUUUGGUGGAGGAGGAGGCGGACUUACCGGUGAAUGCUCAUGAGUUGGAGGAGGAGAGUGUGUAUAGCCAUUCGUUGGUGGAGGAGGCGGCGGUGGUGAUGGAUGGUAUUGAUAGGGAGGGGCAUGAUAAUUAACAGGUGGUGGUGGAGGUGCUUCAUGUUGAUAGGGAGGUGGGUUGUACUCGACAGGUGGCGGUGGCGGUGCUUCAUGUUGAUAGGGAGGUGGGUUGUACGUGGCAGGUGGGGGUGAAUGCUCAGGUGCAGAGGGUGUAUGUUCAACUGGUGGCGGCGGAGGAGUUUGAUGUGUACUUGGCGAAACCUUUUUAGUAGGCGGGGGUGGAGCAUAAGAAUGGGAAUGGCUAGGUGGAGGAGGUGGGAAUGAGUGCUCGACAGGAGGUGAUGGUGGUGGCAGAUGUAUUUUGGGUGAUACCUUUUCAGCAGGCGGUGGCGGUGAAGAUGGUGGGUUGAAUGACGUUGUGGGAGGGGGAGGAG
rnacentral:lncRNA from 1 species